rnacentral:rRNA from 1 species
GACGAACGCUGGCGGCGUGCUUAACACAUGCAAGUCGAACGGAAAGGCCCUGCUUUUGUGGGGUGCUCGAGUGGCGAACGGGUGAGUAACACGUGAGUAACCUGCCCUUGACUUUGGGAUAACUUCAGGAAACUGGGGCUAAUACCGGAUAGGAGCUCCUGCUGCAUGGUGGGGGUUGGAAAGUUUCGGCGGUUGGGGAUGGACUCGCGGCUUAUCAGCUUGUUGGUGGGGUAGUGGCUUACCAAGGCUUUGACGGGUAGCCGGCCUGAGAGGGGGACCGGCCACAUUGGUACUGAGAUACGGACCAGACGCCUACGGGAGGCAGCAGUGGGGAAUAUUGCACAAUGGGCGGAAGCCUGAUGCAGCAACGCCGCGUGCGGGAUGACGGCCUUCGGGUUGUAAACCGCUUUCGCCUGUGACGAAGCGUGAGUGACGGUAAUGGGUAAAGAAGCACCGGCUAACUACGUG